UCGCGGCUUAUCGCCGGCAGUCUCCUUAGAGUGCUCAACUAAAUGGUAGCAACUAAGGACGGGGGUUGCGCUCGUUGCGGGACUUAACCCAACAUCUCACGACACGAGCUGACGACAGCCAUGCAGCACCUGUGUUACGGUUCCCUUUCGGGCACACCUCCAUCUCUGGAGGCUUCCGUACAUGUCAAGGGUAGGUAAGGUUUUUCGCGUUGCAUCGAAUUAAACCACAUACUCCACCGCUUGUGCGGGCCCCCGUCAAUUCCUUUGAGUUUCAGUCUUGCGACCGUACUCCCCAGGCGGCGAACUUAACGCGUUAGCUUCGAUACUGGGCUCCAAGUUGAGCCCAACAUCCAGUUCGCAUCGUUUAGGGCGUGGACUAC
rnacentral:misc_RNA from 1 species